GACGAACGCUGGCGGCGUGCUUAACACAUGCAAGUCGAGCGGUAAGGCCCUUUCGGGGGGUACACGAGCGGCGAACGGGUGAGUAACACGUGGGUGACCUGCCUUUAGCUCUGGGAUAAGCCUGGGAAACUGGGUCUAAUACCGGAUAUGACCCUAUGGCGCAUGUUGUGGGGUGGAAAGCCUUGUGCGGCUAGGGAUGGGCCCGCGGCCUAUCAGCUUGUUGGUGGGGUGAUGGCCUACCAAGGCGACGACGGGUAGCCGGCCUGAGAGGGCGACCGGCCACACUGGGACUGAGACACGGCCCAGACUCCUACGGGA
rnacentral:rRNA from 1 species